rnacentral:rRNA from 1 species
AGUGAACGCUGGCGGUAGGCCUAACACAUGCCAGUCGAACGGCAGCACAGUAAGAGCUUGCUCUUACGGGUGGCGAGUGGCGGACGGGUGAGGAAUACAUCGGAAUCUACUUUUUCGUGGGGGAUAACGUAGGGAAACUUACGCUAAUACCGCAUACGACCUACGGGUGAAAGCAGGGGAUCUUCGGACCUUGCGCGAUUGAAUGAGCCGAUGUCGGAUUAGCUAGUUGGCGGGGUAAAGGCCCACCAAGGCGACGAUCCGUAGCUGGUCUGAGAGGAUGAUCAGCCACACUAGAACUGAGACACGGUCCAGACCCCUACGGGAGGCAGCAGUGGGGAAUAUUUGACAAUGGGCGCAAGCCUGAUCCAGCCAUACCGCGUGGGUGAAGAAAGCCUUCGGGUUGUAAAGCCCUUUUGUUGGGAAAGAAAAGCAGCAGGUUAAUACCCCGCUGUUCUGGCGGUACCCAAAGAAUAAGCACCGGCUAACUUCGUG